GAUUACUCUGAUUUUAAAUUAGAUAGGAAUCUAGAAUUGUUGAUGUCUCUACUUAAUUCCUCAAAAAAUGCAAGAAUUAGAGAUAAUUACGCUCUAGGACACAUCAGUAGGAAAAGUUUAUCCAAGACCCACAUCUCUAUACUUCAAUUUCAUUUCAAUUUUAAUAGCAUUCCAUUCACGAUUUCAAUCGCCUACAACUCAAUAAUGAGAAAAUAUCAAAUAUGUUACGCCAAUUCCUUUGUCAAAAGCUGUUCUCCUAGCCUCCAGAACUGAGUGUACCUCAUAAUUUCAUAUUUGAAUACAUGCCCCAGUUUAUUUUUACCACUUACUGCAUUUCUGUGAUUGUCAAAGGUUCAUGUGUCAAAAGUAUGGUAAGAAUUUAAAAUAAAAAGGGUGAAAUAAAUAAAUUAUCAAUAGUAAAAAGCUUUAAACGAUUCCAUAACAAUGAUUCAAUUUUUACAUUCCAAAUAAACAAUAGAGAGUGUUGGGUUUUUAAUACCCAAUAAAUCCCGAGUUAUGAUGUUAACGUGGGUCUAUAUUAUUUCAUAAGCAUAGGCCGAUAAAUGAAAUAAGUCCAACAACAAAGUCCAUAAACUACACCCAACUCAAUUGUAUUCCUUAUGGAUGGCUUGAAUCUUGGCCCGUUUGCCCCUUUAAUGGCCCAACUUAAAGCCUAAUCCUAGAUUAUAUAUAACCCUAGCCACAUUCUAAUGAUGAGUGUGUGAUUUUGAGAGAAGAAAAAGUGAAUCCCGGCUGUCCCCUUUGUGUGAGAAAAAAGGUGUCCAGAAGUGUCCAGAACGCUUGUAUAACGUGUGCAAUUGGUGGUUCUUUCAUAGUUUACCCUUGUGAUGUCUUCUCUUAGCCUUUGUGGUGAUAAAUCAUCAUCCUUUCUUGUCCUACGUGGGUAAGAUUAAAUAGCAACCAAGGUGAAUCAAUUGAUUGUGGUUUGGAGCCGAUUGGACUGGUUAUUGGUUGAGAAAAGUGCGUUGGACUAAACCCGAAAAUUACCGAUUUGAAGAUCUUUCAAGAGAGCUUCCACAACAAUUUGGUGUCAGAGCUUCAAGGUGGUGAUUUUGGCUCGUGAAACAUACAAAAAACGUCCAGAAAUUGCAGAAAAAUCAGAUCGAAGAAGCUGUCCAAAAACUGUCAAAAUCAGUCUCCGUUUUUCGCAUUUUCUGAUCAAUCCAGAAGGAGUUUGGGGAAACGGAGACCACUGACAUGACGUGCAAGAGGAGGCGAACCUUGUAGGUCGGCACGUGUCGGUCGACGAUGACGCGUGUGGUAGCACGUGAGGCCCACGAGCAGAGGGAAGGAGCCGCGCGUGAGGGUACGUGGAGCAUUUUUUGGUGACGGUCUCUUAGGCAGUUUGUUCCUCAUAUUAUUUCUGACAUUUUUUGUGUUGAAAGUUUUCUGUUUCAGGUUACACAGUAGAAUCUGGACAGCGUUGUUCUUUGGGCAUUCGGAACUCGAUCGUGGUUUUUUUGUUGCUGCAGUUUCCAAAGACUUUAGGACGAAUAGUGGUGGUCCUAAAUUAAUAAAUCUACAACUCUCAUAAUUUACAGACUUAGAUAGGUUAGCUCUAGUAUAUUGGCUUAACUUAGUUUAAAUUUAAGCAUUAGCAGAUCAUCAUGUGGGGUGAUCGUUAGGAUUGGGGGUUGUCAUUGCUUGGCAACCAUUACUUAUGCUAAAAAAUUUAAGAAUUAUUUGCCCUAUUUUUGAAGAGUUGAACUUUAAUUGCAAGUUGGUAGUUGAUUUUGUGUUUAUCUAUCAUAUAAUCACUGUGUGAGACUUGUUGCGUGAAAAUUUGAGUUUUUUGUUUAUAUACCUUCGUGUUUGCGUUAAUUAUCCAAUUAGAACACCUGGACUUGACCCGUUCGAACAUUCCCUUGAUAUAAGAUCGUGAAUCUUACGAAACUCUAGGAAUCUAGAACGGUGUAUAUUGCGACUUUAGGAUUACUUUGUGUGACAUAUUUGUGACUUGGUUGUUCUGUUUUUCAUUUAAUCUUUAAAAAUGUUUUCACACUUUGAAGUUGGAAUUUUUAAUGGAAAAGGGGAUUUUUCAAUUUGUCAACAAAAGAUGAAGGGUAUUUUGGUCCAAAAAAAAGUUUCAAAGGCCAUAGAUGGCAAAUUUCCUACAAAUUUAACAGAAGUAUAAAAACAAGAGUAUGAUGAACUUGCCUGCACUUCAAUUAUUUUACACCUGUC
rnacentral:lncRNA from 1 species